rnacentral:rRNA from 1 species
UGGGGGAUAUUGCACAAUGGGCGAAAGCCUGAUGCAGCGACGCCGCGUGGGGGAUGAAGGCCUUCGGGUUGUAAACUUCUUUUGCUCUGAACAAGGCAUGCUAAUGGGUGUGUUGAGUGUAGGGGUUGAUUAGCGCCGGCUAACUACGUGCCAGCAGCCGCGGUAAUACGUAGGGCGCGAGCGUUGUCCGGAAUUAUUGGGCGUAAAGUGCUUGUAGGUGGCUGGUUGCGUCUGUCGUGAAAGCUAAUGGCUUAACUGUGGGUUUGCGGUGGGUACGGGCUGGCUUGAGUGCAGUAGGGGAGGCUGGAAUUCCUGGUGUAGCGGUGGAAUGCGCAGAUAUCAGGAGGAAUACCGGUGGCGAAGGCGGGUCUCUGGGCUGUUACUGACACUGAGGAGCGAAAGCAUGGGGAGCGAACAGG